GCAGACUCAUUCCAGACCAGGAAGAAGAAAUUGUCGCUGAUUGGAUCAUCAAUAUUGAUGCUGGGGUCUGAGGAAGCGCCGACAAGGAUCCUGGAAAAAAAAGCAUCCAACAUGUCAACAGUUUACUCAGCAAACACAAAGGGCGAGCGUUAAGGGCCCAGCCUGGUAUUCCUCCCCUCCCAUAACGGAUGGCACCCGUUCCUCAUCUUCCACCAACACUGCCAACUCGCUGUCUUUACAGCCCAGCAUGCUGCGGUCAUUGAUGUUGGCUGAUCCUGGAGCACGAGAGGAAAGUACACUACAGGCGUUCACAAUCUGUCCCUUCACAGGCAACGCUACCAUCAAACGCAGAGCAACUAUCAGAGUUAAACUGAAGUAUACGUUAGAAGUGCUAUGGUGUUCUGCUAUCGUGCAUCUGUGUUUGAGUGAGUUCAUGCAGGUUUUGACUCACCAAUGAUAUAGCAGCGGUCAUCGGCAAUGAGGGUUUUGCUGUGGACAUAAAUCAGCUCUGUGACCAGUGACUUGGAGAGAUGGGAAUAGGUUCUCAGGCCACACAGGGUGAUGUACUCCGUCCACUGGUCCUGCACUACUGGGCCAAAGAGGAACUCAAUUAAUGUCUGUCUGUUAUUGAACUUAUUGAAUUACGGACUCUUUAAAUGAAUAUGAAAAGAAAGUGAGCGAGUCAAGAAUCAAAAUGGAGGCUAUUAGCGAGGUACCUAGUAUGAGCAGCUUCAGUUUAAAGGAGCCACGCAAGGAGAAACAGAAGCACGUGUUAGAGAAACAAGAAACAAGAGGGAUUUUGUGUUGUCAGGUGGAUCUGUGUGUUAAAGUUAAGUGACGAUGAGUUUACCUUCAUGAAGUCUCUCCAGGAUAGAGUACUCCCCACGACACAUGGUCCUAGAAAUAUGCAUGACACAGGGAAUUGAAACUAUGAAGCUUUAUUGUGGUAAUAUUUACAAGCUGACUAGGCUUCUUGUGCACUAAGAGACAAUACAGCUUUAAGAAGCUUUAUGAAGAAGCAUUUUAUGAUAUAUUUAAAUUUAUAUGAACAAACAUGAAAAUUCUAAAUGAUACUGUGAGGAAUAGUCUCACCUGUAAGUAAAGUGCAGAAUAGCUUGAAUGGCAUUUCCACCUCCCACAUUAAUGUCUCCCUCAAAUCCAGGAAGCAGCGGAACCACCACAAACACUCUGUACUUCUUCUGCUCCCUACAAUAAGACAAUAUGUACACGUCCACAACUAUAGCUUAUUUCUAUUUAAUUUCAUGUUUCGUGUGAUCACAUAAAUCUGGCUGGUACAGUCCAAAGUGACCUGUGUGCGCGGAGAAUUCGUGCCACGAUUGCAUCACCGAUCCCGUUGUAGACAGUUCUCCCAUCGGCACAGCUGAUGAAGAACUGGUUCUAAGGGCAGAGAAAAAGCAGAUGGUGGCACGGCAUGAGGUGAGGGCUGAAACAGGCACGCGGCCAGCUACGCGUGCGGCUGCAUCCAAACGUUUGAAACGCCAUCACAAUGCCCUCGUUGGCUGCAGAAUCUUACAGUAAUACAGUGAAAUGAAGCAGCUGCUUUACCUCGAUGUAGAUGUAGUGCUCGCUCUUCUCGAUGACGUCGACGUAGGCCUGGCAGAUGGACUUCUCACAGGUUCCAGUUGACCAGCGGUCGGCCGAGCGCAACACCUAAGGAAGUUACACAUUAACAGGGAAAUGUCUUCUGGUUUAUGAGAACAAGGCAACGCUGUGCACAGAUAUGGUAAAUGUUCAACCGAGGAAUUUCUAUUACUGCAGCACUAUCACAUCAGCCUUUAUUGUCACCUACACAUGCAGCUCUCACACAUUACCCCUGAAACCUGAAUAAAGAAGAAACCCAACCUGAUAUAAAGCUACAGUGUCAUGAUGAGUGGAGGUUAGAGUUACAAGCCACUGCCCACAAAGGAAAUAAGUAAUUAAAGUGUGUGAAAUCAUUUAUUAGUGAUUCCUAACAACUUUAUUAUCCAAUAGGUCUCCCAAUGUCAACAACAAUACAGCUUGUUUAUAUUCUGUCCUCUAGAGGAUAUUUUUAUACACAUUAACUUUCAUUUAUGUUUAAACAAUAUUAAAGUGAGUGUUGCUACAACUGAUGUGUCUAUGCUUCCCCAUCAAGCGUAUCCAUGUCCUCCUUUCCUGUUCUUGGCAGCACGUUUGUUUUCUCUGGACUUAUUGAACAGGAUAAACAUGUUGGAAGUGAUUUUGCUGCACAGGCUUUGCUCUUGUUCCACCAUCUGCCACAGAAAACACUCAGAAGACUUCUCAGACACCAGAACAGUGCCUCUUUGUUGUACUGCAUGUAAUCCCAUUUCAUUUCAAGCUACAUCUGACUUGGUGUAAAACAUGAUUAAUCUAAAGUAGAAGCGGACAGAUGCCUUCAGGCUUGUUGCAAUACCUUUUUUUCAUAAUAUUUUCAGUAAUUUUACAUAUUUCUCAAAAUUAAAAUAGUCCUGCAGCACAGUUUAUUUUAGGAUUUCAAACGUGGAUGUAAUACAAUUUCUACUCUUUAGUUUCUUUCAGCUUUUUUUGGUGUAGCUCUUUGAAACUCAUAAAUUGGAUGAGAGACAUCUUAAUCUAAAAAGUAAUUUGUAUUUCGGUGAAAUAUUUUCUUAUUUUUUUCACCUUUUUGAACAGGGUGAUCUGUGAACUGCCUAUAAUGUGCAGACGACCUGGUUUGUGGUGUGGCACACAGGAUUGCAUCAUCAACAUAAAAAUAUGCCUCAGAGUCCAGUCGGAGUCUAGACCUCAGACCAAUAUAGAUGCUGCGUCAUAAUUGCAAGACAGCUACUCACACCAGACAUCUGAAAAAUAUGGCACGAACUGAAGUUGUGUGAGGACAUAUUGUUCAAAUUGAGGCCACAGCUACAGUACCAGAACUAUUUGCUUUAGAGCUAUGAGUAUUUCUUUCAACUGAAGAUUAAUACUGUACAGUAGCUGAUUAUUCUUAUCUGUGCUGACGUGUGUUUAAAGUUCCACGUGUUUUUUCUGGAUUGCUCGAUUGUGAAGCUAGAGUGAAUAUCUGAGGUUCAAUCUUUGGUGCGCUUACAAUAGGACACGGUUCUCUAUUAGAGAUGCAACCCAAAAGAAACACAAAGAAAGUCUGAUUCAUCUGGAAGCUGGAAGAGAGUUAUGGCCAUUACCAGGAUAAUUGGAUGUGGCCGUGUCAUUUUCUUUUUCAUUAUUCUAUUACCAUGUUUAAAAGGAUAGGAAGCAUCUUGGUGAAAUGGCAGUACUGUCUUUUUUAAGCUGUCAAAACUAACUCAGCUGUAAUUCAUGAAAUCCCACAUGUAUUUUGGUGGUUGCGAGUGUGUGUUUAUAAAAACCUGAACUCUGGCUUUUCUAGACUCAGGAACGGUGAAUGGGAGCGAGUCGGCGGUGGAAUGAGACUUGGGAAGAAGGCAAGGGUAGAAGUCGUCCUUGUACUUGCUUUUGAAGAUCUGCGGGGGACAGAACGUGCCGUCAUCAGCCACGUUUUCUAUGACGCAGGUCGAAGAAUAACAACCAAAGGGAGGCAGAGUGGGACCUUGGUGAAGUUCCAGCGCUGGAUGAAGUGACGGGCCACAUCCCUGGCAGCUUUGCCGUGAAUAGCUGCAGACAGGUCGCGCCACGGCAUGCGGGGGACCCGAGUGCGGUCAAUGUUGUCUGAAGAACAUAUAAAAAGCAAUCCUGUCAGAUUCCACCGUACAGAACGUGCACGUGCUUGACACUGAAGGGGAUUCGGACGCCACACCUUCAAAAGGUUUGUCCAGUUGAACCCAGUCUUUCCUGAUGAAGUUGCUGUAGUCUUUCCCGAGCCACAGUUGAGUGUUUCCAGUCAGUGAAUCCGGACUCUUCUCGGCCGCACCGUUACCCUGCCCCGCGGCUGCUACGUCUGCCGUCUCCGACGAGCCCAGGUCCGUGAGCCGGUACCUACUGUCGUCCCACCUCCCGAACGCCAGGUCAAUCCCCCCGACGAAGGCCACAGUUUGGUCGAUCGCCACCAUCUUUUCAUGGUGAGCCCAAAAAAACACCGCGCUUGACACAUGGUCAGGGUGUCGCAUUACCUGCCAGAUGUAAAAGGAAGAGGGGAACUAUGAAACAACAGGCUUCUCUGUGGCUUCUAUUUUCUAUGAAUCUAGAGGUGCCCGACCUUGAUGUUGGGGUGCAUAUUCAUCAGAGUCCUCUUGCUGUGGUCGCUAUUUAUGCCAAGCGCUAGUUCCACCUCUUUGUAGAGUAGAACGCACACUUUGACUCCUUGUUCCUGCAGGAAAUUAUUCAGAGAGGUGAUGCCAUAUAAAAACAACCUUAAUAGUUGUACUGUAACUGAUAAUAAUUCUGACAAUCAAAAGCACGGGAACAAGUCAGAGAGGAUGCGUACAGCUUUGCGUUUGAGUAUCUCAUCCAGACGCCAGUAGUUAUCAGUUGCUGGUCUCUUUAGGUGGACUUCAGGGCUGAGCCUGAGCACAUAGAUGCAUAAAGCACAUUUUUACACAUUUGUACAUGUAAUACAUUACGUACAAUAUAUUUUUUUAGGUAAAUCAAUCUUAUUACCACCUACCACCAAUCUGUAAUGAAGAUUUCCUCUGCAGCUUGUUCCAGAGCAUUAGCUAGAUCCUCAAAGUAGCCGCUUCCAUUCACAUACCUUCAAAGAACGUUGAUACACCAGAGCAGUUUAGAAAAGGAAGAUGAAAACUCAAGACUGGAGUGGACCGUGUCUCACCAUUUAGUGAGUGUGUUGCUGCGCGGCGGUGCAAAUCCUCCAAAGCGCUGCUCUUUGACGAAGUCACAGGACUCUGCCAGCUCGUUGAUUUUAUGACUCCACCACUGACUUUGUCUGUAGCUGCUACAUUUGAUGAUGAGACUCCUGGAUAAAAAUUAAAGAAACAUACAUGUGUUACAUGCAGUCCUGUGCACGGCGAUGCUCAGGGAAGCACCCGGCCGACCUACCGUGUGAAGUUCUCAAAGCAGACUCCGUGUUUAGUGCCUGUGUGAGCGCCGCCCACCUUCACCGUGAACUCGGGGUCAAACAGCAGCACGAAGUUGAUGCAGGCGCUGUCCUUGUCCAUGUACAUCAGGAACGAGUCUUUCACCACCAGCCAGCGGCGCGACCAGCGGAAGCAGACCCGAUGGUGGCCGAGGCAGUUCAAGCCGAGCAGUCGGUGACCCCCUGACCUCUUGUCGAUGGGUCCCUCCCUGGGACAAACUGACAUCAACGAGAUCCUACGCAACAAACCUUUGAUGUUUGAACUUGAACAGAAGUUUGCUUACAGGCCUUUGGGUCCAAGGUCGGUUACAAAGGAGAGCGGACCGAUAGACAAAAAAUCCAGCUGGAAAAGAGACGAGGCAUCUCAACAACUUUGUACCGUUUGUGUAUUAUAUGUUAGUUUAACAGCUAUUACCAUGCUGUGAUGAUUUCUGAAUAAUGUGUUCUCCAGUAGGUCGUUCAGAAACUCCUCAAGAAAUUUCUGUAAUAAUAAGCGAUGUGAGGAGGUAAAUGAAUACAGAUAUUGGAAUGACUGGAUGUUAAAGUCAUCAUUCAAACAUGUGUGUAUUCAAUGGGGGGGUGCUGUACAUGUGUGUGACUGGUUUGUUGGAUACCGUUUUGCUGGAGGUCCUCCUGGUGCGCUCAGUCCCCUGCAGGCUGGGCAUUUCCUCUGGCAUCGCUCCCUGCUGCCUCUCCUUUGCAAAUCUUUGACAGGAGAUUUCCAUAUUCAAAAACAGCCCGUGCUUUAGAAACAAACCUAUGAUUUCAAAGUUCUCUUACAGGAAGAGAUUGAUGUACAUAAUACGAUCAGCACGCUGACCACCAACCUUCCUAAAGGCAGCAAAUGGACCAUGACCCAGUGCCUGUAAAGUUCUCGGUGCAGCUCCUGGAAGUGCUUGUACUUCCUCUUCACCGUCCAGUGGAACGGGCCGUGCGUUAAAUGCACUGUGUACAAGGUGCCCACGCGGACCUGGACGGACAUUGAUGGAAUAAUGCAGAUAACUUGAACUGAUGCUGCAAAAAAUUUACAGUGAAUGAUUUGGCAUCACUUAAUCACCUACAUGCACAGGGAAACGCUCUUUGGGCAGUGAGAAUAUAAGUUAACAUCUGUUUUGUUUCUCAAACGACUCCACAGGAAGCCAAUAAAACUCAGAGGAACAUCUGUGGAAUGCACUGACAAAGGUUCACAUGUGGGACGUCUUAGCAGAGUGUGACCCAAUCCUCCCCACAGCCGACACCAUUAUCUGCUCUCCAUUCACCACGACUGGCUGCACUGAAAACAUGUAACAACUGCAGCCUUGCUGAGUGCACACGCUCCUCGCUGCAUCUGGUUGCGUCAUUUCAGUGGAUUGCUGAUGCAGCGAUAAUCCAACGUACUGUCUCAAGUACACACUGCAGCCACUUAGUGUGCGCCAAUUUGGUUAACAGCAUGUGUGUGAUGGUAAAUAGCAGAUUGUUAUAUAGACCGAUCAACGUCUUUGCAGACUCAGGCCCCGUACCUUUGACUGAGUGGUGUGUUUCUCCGUGUUGUCCAUUUUGCAUGUGAUGGGAAUACCCGGCAGGAAGUAAAGUACAUCAGCUGCUUUGAUUUCUUGAAGAUGAUGAACCACCAGGAAAGCACGUCCCUCUGCAAUUUGCACAGUUUCUCAGUGAGUCGUUCACACCUCGGGCUCAAUGUGUCCAGUGUUUUUUUUUUUUUUUUCCUUACCACUGCUGGAAACCAGGCCGUCGAUCUCAUCUGGACUCAUGUUGUGAAAGUCGCGGGAGAAGCGUCUCCUCCCGAGGCGCGUCGCCGUGGCGUUCUGAGCCGCCGGCUCGAUCGCGUCCUCUGAACUGGCCAUUUUACAGACGCGGCAAAUGCCAGCUGUGAUGUCAGGUCUGAAAGAAGGACAUUUCAUUGUGUGAGUUUGAAAAACAAACAAACAAAAAAAAGCAUGUUUUUUUUUAAAAGACGGACAAAACACAAUCACACAGGAAGCGCAGUAACGAAGCAUUACACCAGUCUGUGGAUCAGGUCCUCAACAUGGCAGCACACGUACUGCGGAACAAAACCACCAUUGAAAGAAAAGGGUGUGUAACGUAUGUGUGUAUAGCGUGGAGAGAAGCAUGCGAUCGGCUGAAUGGUUCCUAGGCAACAGGGAAAAGCAGAGAGUGUGUUGUAAUGUUUGGUUCAGGUUUGCAUUCGGUUGUGUCACAGAUAAGACAAUGAUUUGUCCAGGUGUGAAUGUUUCCCAUGAGACAUAAACACCUGCUGUAUAAUCUUCUUGAUAUUAGUGGUGGAGUCUCUCGAGCCGUAACAUUACAUGAAGAACUGUAAUAACCUGCUCAUUGUAAGUUCCAUUAAACACCUACUACUACACCAAACUUCAACAGAGGAAAAAACACAACAACGUCAACCAAACAUGCUGUACAGUCUAAAACACAUGUUAAUCAUGUGUAUAUUUGUACAUGUUACAUUGACAGCGUAGAGUGAAGCAGAGGGGUUGGGGCUGAACAGCAUAAGCACUUCUCACCUACAUAAACCGUGCAAGACCGGAUCAAGUGCACUAGGUGUAAUAAUAAACAAUGGGUGAGUCCGCCAUCUGUGUCAUACUGGCCAGCAGCUGUGGUGGAAUGUAAAAAAUGAAGGUGUGCCAAUCAAGAUGAAACAAAACAAAUCAUACUGAAUGCAUAAAUGACAACAAUAGAAUACUCCGUUUGUCUUUUUGAAAUCUGAUGGCUCAUCUCAGACUCGGAGGAAUUGUGUCUCCUACUCUGUCAUCCUGCGAGUGGUCGAUGCACACAGACCCCAUCAGAUAGUGAUAUCCUGUGGAUCGCCUACACACUCAAGGCAACGUAGGCAAACAUCGACUUGACAAGAUUUUCUUGUUUGUUAAGUUGCUUAAGAUAAACUUUGUCAAGUCAUUUACUUGGUUGCAAGAGGAGUCCUGCACCACACCCACCUGCCCACUCACGCAGACAAUCGAUCUAAACGCUACCAAUAUGCAAAUAGAGACAUCUAUAAAGACUGACUCACCAAACCAAUGUGUAUUUACAAACGUAUAUACCAUCACAAUAAAUAAUGUACUGCUGUAAUUAUAGUGUGUGUCUAUACUAUGAAUAUGAGUUUCCAUGUGCCCAUCACUUUGUUUUGUACACACCACACCUACACUGUUGCAUGAGUCCUCAUUUUUUACAUCACUGUGAAAUACUGUACAACUUUACAGCUAUGCAACUAAACAUUUAUACAGUUUGUUUAAUAAAAUGUAAAUAAAACUCCACUGUAUUGCAGAA